CCUACGGGGGGCAGCAGUAGGGAAUCUUUCACAAUGGGCGAAAGCCUGAUGGAGCAACGCCGCGUGCAGGAUGAAGGCCUUCGGGUUGUAAACUGCUUUUAUCAGCGAGAAAUAUGAUGGUAACUUCUGAAUAAGGAUCGGCUACCUACGUGCCAGCAGCCGCGGUCAUACGUAGGAUCCGAGCGUCAUCCGGAUUUAUUGGGUGUAAAGGGUGCGUAGGCGGUUUGAUAAGUUAGAGGUGAAAUGUCGGGGCUCAACCCCGAAACUGCCUCUAAUACUGUUGGACUAGAGAAUAGUUGCGGUAGGCGGAAUGUAUGGUGUAGCGGUGAAAUGCUUAGAGAUCAUAAAGAACACCGAUUGCGAAGGCAGCUUACCAAACUAUAACUGACGUUGAGGCACGAAAGCGUGGGUAGCAAACAGGAUUAGAUACCCCGGUAGUC
rnacentral:rRNA from 1 species